AAUUCACUAGUGAUUUUCCGGUUGAUCCUUGCCGGAGGUCACUGCUAUCGGGGUUCGAUUAAGCCAUGCGAGUCGAGAGGGUUCGGCCCUCGGCGUACUGCUCAGUAACACGUGGAUAACCUGCCCUAAGGAAGGGAAUACCCCCGGGAAACUGGGGAUAAUGCCCUAUAGGUUACCGAUGCUGGAAUGCUCGGUAACCGAAAGUUCCGGCGCCUUAGGAUGGAUCUGCGGCCGAUUAGGUUGUUGUCGGGGUAACGGCCCAACAAGCCGAUAAUCGGUACGGGUUGUGGGAGCAAGAGCCCGGAGUUGGAUUCUGAGACACGAAUCCAGGCCCUACGGGGCGCAGCAGGCGCGAAAACUUUACGAUGCGGGCAACCGUGAUAAGGGAACCUCGAGUGCCUGUAUAUGCAGGCUGUCCAGGUGUCUAAAACACACCUGAAGAAAGGGCCGGGCAAGACCGGUGCCAGCCGCCGCGGUAAUACCGGCGGCUCGAGUGGUGGCCACUUUUAUUGGGCUUAAAGCGUUCGUAGCUGGGUCGUUAAGUCUCUUGGGAAAUCCGGCAGCUUAACUGUCGGGCGUCUAAGAGAUACUGGCGAUCUUGGAACCGGGAGAGGUGAGGGGUACUUCAGGGGUAGGAGUGSAAAUCCUGUAAUCCUUGAGGGACCACCUGUGGCGAAGGCGCCUCACCAGAACGGCUUCGACAGUGAGGGACGAAAGCUGGGGGAGCAAACCGGACUAGAUACCCGGGUAGUCCCAGCCGUAAACGAUGUGCGUUAGGUGUAUCGAUGACCACGAGUCAUCGAGGUGCCGAAGGGAAACCGUGAAACGUACCGCCUGGGAAGUACGGUCGCAAGGCUGAAACUUAAAGGAAUUGGCGGGGGAGCACCACAACAGG
rnacentral:rRNA from 1 species